GAUGAACGCUGGCGGCGUGCUUAACACAUGCAAGUCGAACGGGAAUUAUUUUAUUGAAACUUCGGUCGAUUUAAUUUAAUUCUAGUGGCGGACGGGUGAGUAACGCGUGGGUAACCUGCCUUAUACAGGGGGAUAACAGUCAGAAAUGGCUGCUAAUACCGCAUAAGCGCACAGAGCUGCAUGGCUCAGUGUGAAAAACUCCGGUGGUAUAAGAUGGACCCGCGUUGGAUUAGCUGGUUGGUGGGGUAACGGCCCACCAAGGCGACGAUCCAUAGCCGGCCUGAGAGGGUGAACGGCCACAUUGGGACUGAGACACGGCCCAGACUCCUACGGGAAGCAGCAGUGGGGAAUAUUGCACAAUGGGGGAAACCCUGAUGCAGCGACGCCGCGUGAAGGAAGAAGUAUCUCGGUAUGUAAACUUCUAUCAGCAGGGAAGAUAGUGACGGUACCUGACUAAGAAGCCCCGGCUAACUACGUG
rnacentral:rRNA from 1 species